CCCUGAGGUGCGCGUGACAUCCCCGUGCCCUCCACUGGAAGAAAUGUGCCCCCUGAAGGCGCAGCAGGAGCCCCCAGCCUGGGCGCGGCACCGCAGGACGCUUUGUGCUCUCCAAGGACUGCGCCUAAGUGUCCCCCGCUACGUCCUCACCUCCUGUCCUGAGGUCACUCGUUUCAUCUAAGAAGAAAGAGGGGAGAGAGGAAGAGGAGGAAGAAGAAAAGUCACCAGUGAAUCCUGAAUUGGAAGGAGACCCAACUGUAAGCAGUGCAUGAAGCGAGAUGGGACUGUAGCAGCCUCCUCACUGCCCCAGGGCCUUUGCACAUGCCACCCUCUGUGGGAUCCCUUCCCCGUGUCUAGGCCCCGAACACCCAGCUCCCCACAGCAGCAGGAGGAGCUCACGUCUCACUGAGGAGCAGCCGCCAGCCGGAGUGCACGUGGAAAAGAGGAGACAGCAGGAUAAACCGUCAGUGCCCGGCCCAGAGCUGUGGAUGCCCUAACUCCACGUGCCCUGCGGGGUGAGACAGGGUUUGGGACAGUGCAGCGAACAGAGCCCGAGGCGUCUCCGGCCUCCCGGCCCAGGUCCACCCACCCUGGGCCCAGGCAUCGUGGGACACUCAGCUGGGAUCCGGAAGCUCAGAUUUCGGGGUUCUGGGGUUGGGGUGCUCGACUUGUAAAGCCUAAGCAAAUAUCCCAACUUCUGAAAAGAAGUCUGAGACCUGAGACCUGUCUGGGGCCAAGCAUUUCUGACAAGGAAAUGCAACCUGCUGGGGACUCAGAGCCUGGGCGGCCCUGGGGAAGCAGCCAGUUCGGCGCCUUGGGGAGCCUGAGACCGGGAGGCCGAGGUGCGGG
ensembl:lncRNA